rnacentral:lncRNA from 1 species
UGGAAUAUGGUGAGGAAGUAUUAGAAGAAAUAAAAAAUUCGAAGCAUAACACACCAAGAAAAAAACAAACCCCAGCAGAAUCAGGAUAGCUUUGGGAAAUGAAGCAAGCACAGUGCAAGAGGAAGAACAAGAUAGAAAGGGUAGCCAUACUGAUUUGGAAAGCAUUAAUGAAAAUUUAGUUGAAAGUGCAUUGAGAAGAGUAAACAGAGAAGAAAAAGGUAAUAAGUCAGUCCAUCUGAGGAAAGCCAGUUCACCAAAUCUUCAUAGACGACAGUGGGAGAAAAAUGUACCCAAUACAGCUCUUACAGCUUUGGAAAAUGCAUCCAUACUCACCUCCAGUUUAACAGCAGAGGACGAUAGAGGUUCAGAAGGGUUCUUGAAAGGCCCCCUGUCUGAAGAAACAGAAGCAUCGGACAGUGUUGAUGGAGGUCACGAUUCUGUCAUUUUGGAUCCAGAGCGACUUGAGCCUGGGCUAGAUGAGGAGGACACGGACUUUGAGGAGGAAGAUGACAACCCCGACUGGGUGUCAGAGCUGAAGAAGCG